UCAUUCCGCGCGGACGUAGUCACGGGCGACAGCUAUAAUAGAUAAAAAUAAACUUUGAGUAAGCCUCCUACUGGAGAGUUGCGGGUAGCGUCUUGCGGUAAACCGCAGCACGUGCGGGGCUCGGGCUGUGCGGGUGUGGUUGCGGGGGCGCGGGUGGGGCGGCAAGCUCUUGUUUAGAAUUCCCUCAAUAUCUAUAUAUUAUACAUUUGUAGUUCUAGUGGGUCGCUGUGGUCGUCGCUGUGGUCGCCGCGGCGGCAACUAAGCGGCACCGCGACGACUUGCUUUAUACAUAACGUGCUGAGUCAUUGUACCGAGUGACGGCGGCUUGUUUCAUCGAUUUAUUGUCAAAUUUACGUCACAAAUGUUUUCUAUGCUCUAAUGGUAAGAAAAACCAAAACAUACUUAAUCGAUGCCAUGAAUGUGUUAUUCAGGUCUAUACUAACCGUUCCGUUGUCUAUUGAUGUGUGUUUGUGGCACAUGCCGGGUAACCUUGAGGCUGCACGCGGCUUGCUGCGGGGCGGGGCGGGGCGUGCUGCGGGGCGGGGGGAGUGACACUCCACCCUACCAGCGAGUGGGUAACACUUACGUCUAUCAGAGUUGAUAUCGGAACACUUCGCGUCUUUCUCUAUCAGAAAAAUAAGGGAACUAGAAUUGGACCUCACUCAUCGGCCGGAAAACAAAGCUAUUCUUCAUGCUUUUCCGUUAUGAGGUAGUAGUAUAUCAUAUUUUGGGGCUCCGCCUACUCAAAAAUCCAUUGUAUUAAAAUUAAUAGACACACGAUUUGCAACGUAAUGUAAUUGAAUUUAAGAAAUCAGCAAUUGCCGUCGUCCGCUUGCGAAGGUCUCAAGGCGCGGUUGUUACCAGUCAGCGUUACACCGCGAUUUACAUACAGUUCCGCUUGUGUUGCGUAUCUACUCUUUCAAAUUUGUUUUAGGAUUUAUAAAAAAAAAUUCUACCCACAGUAAUACUAGAAAUUUGUUUAAACAGAACAUUCAGACGAACCUCCUCUUUUUUUAGGUCGGUUAAAAAUGGAAUACAAUAUUUUCGCUCCUUCCCCAUUCUGGCAAGAAUAAAAUGUUAUUUUAAAUGCCGCAAUGAUAAACCGCUUCAUAAUACAAUGCAUAUGACACAUGAUUCAAUCAAAUCUGCGGUGAGCUCACGUCCUAACUGGGAGCUGCACCGCACCGCACCGCACCGCACCGCGCAGUUCUAGGCAGUGCAGCGCGCAGGGGGUUUCCCCACGCACACGCACACGCUACAUUUAUUAUUAUGGUUAUACUAGUUACGUUAUGUCAUCAAUGUAUGAUAAACUGAGCAAUAAAACAAGCGAUAUUUAACGCCCACCAAAAUCUACUAUAACAAGAUUACAAAAGCAUUUUAACUAUACACGUAUGUACGCAGUGUUUAUGUGAUAGAAUCUGACGACGAGACGGGAGAGAAUUAUACAAUGAACUAGAAGGUGAUGCACCGAGCAAUGAAUGAAUGAAUGAAUGGCAAUCAAAUGUACCGCCCGCGGGCGGUGAGGGCGGUUAGUGCGGAUGUAGUCCGGCCGGCACUCGGUACUGCGACUCUCAACUCGCAAGCAAACCCACGUGCGGAUACGUAACAAUGUCUCCUUUUUGUAACACAUCUCAGAAACGUGUAAUCGCCAAUUUAGCGCAAGUUGGUAAUAAAACAGACGAUAGCGACAAUGUUUUAUUACGAAAAGGCGCAAUGUUUGCUCUACUGAGAACUGAGAAGUGAAUCUUAUCAGUCGCAGAGACGUUCACAAUUCGUGCACAAUAAUUAUGUCCGCACGAACGCACGCCUCUCACCGCGUCAUGCAUUCAUUUGUGAAGUGUGUUCUUUGGAACGGAAUCAACAACAUUAAUUAAAUAGUAAACUUUCAUGUAAAUAGAGUAACACGGAAAGGUUGACCUAAACUUCACAUAACGAGCACAUCUUGUGAACAUACAUUAUUGCUUACAAUCUCUUCAAUUACCAGUAAACAUUAGUCAUUUAAAUAGACAAAUGGAGCGAAAUGGUCUGUUCUCUGCAAUGCUAGUACAUAAUAUUGAAAUACAUUUAUACCGGAGAAGCAUUUUCCUUAUGUUCCUUGCAUUUAAUAUAAAUACUCGCUAUGCCAAUAUGUAAUGAGUAAAAUCAAUAAUGCAAUCAAGUGUAAUCAGCAAAGCGUAAUCUCUCUAGACAAUCAAGUUGUCAGUACAAAUAACAGACGGCAGCCGGUAAACGGUUGCGUAAGGAUGUGUACGGAGCAAACACAUCGUCACGUGCCACGCGGCGGCUACUGUGCUAAACUUCUCAUAGGCCAGCGCCCACUCCGGCGCGGCUGGCUCGCACCGGCCAGUCCCAACAGCCAGUUUCAGCUCAGUCAUAAGUCACAUAUACGGGAAAGGCAUAUUUGAAGAUAUUUCUCGGUUUGUGUGUGAGUGUGUGUGUGUUUAAGUAGAUAAGAUGAAGCAAUGUGGUAAAAUCAAUGACAUUGUAAGUAGAUUAAAGUUAAUCAAAAUGUUUACAUCAUCACAUUGAAUCAAUGAAAGAUGAAGUGUAUGGGCAGAGAUGACGACCACGACAUUUUGUUUGAAUAGAAAUCGUUUCGGAUCUUCACUUCGUCAAGCGGGAGGAUGUCGUCUCACUUGCUGCAUAAUCUCGUACUUCUUGCAGUAAUUAUACUAUUAUGAUUAUCAGCGAGGCGAGGCGGCAGGCGAGAGGCGGCAGGCGGCAGGCGACAUGGCGCGCCGUGACAAUUGCUGAUAGUGGGCGUCAUCAUCGCCGUUGAGGCGGAAGUUCUACGGAAACACGCGAGCUCCAGCUAUCACCGCUGCGCCGUGUGCUCGCAGUGUGUCGCUCUCGUUGAAACAAUGUUAAUAUAAAUGGAGUUAGCAAAUAUAUCAAGAUUUCAAGUGGCUACGGACGUGGCAGGAGAACUGUAUACCGCUGGACACAAGACAAGAACGUGGGGAGACGACGCCUCCGUCCGAAAGUGCAAAACACGUUGGUGGAGCUUCAAAUAUGAUGUUUUUAAUAAUUAAAAUAAAUAAUCUUAAAAUUUGAUGUAAAAGUUGCAUAUGUGCCGAGCGGCGGAUGCACGGUGUGAUAACACGCUGACCUGCGGACAAUUCGCGGCAGCUCAAUUGUGUUAUCAUUCAGUUGGCGACUCUUCCGCAGCCUCACGUACGCUGAUAAGGCGAUAGCGGCCGAUAGCGCCGUGGCCGCGCCUGCGCCCGCGCCGCCGCCGCUGCACGCCUCGAGGAAGUCAUCGUGACAAAGUAAUUAAAAAUCAUUUCGCAAUGUAAGAACAAGGGUUGAUCGCGGAUCGCGUAUCGCGGCACACACUGUAUUUAGUGAUCACCACUACCUAUAAAAGUUGCUGAAGGAAAUGUGGGGAAAGGAAAGUGUAGUUAGUAAGUGUAGGAAUGGGAGUUGAAAGAUUUAAUAAACCGACUAUGCCAUAAAACCGCUAGAUAUGUCAAUACUUCCACACCAUUACCACAUUGCUCCAGGUGAGGCCGAGCUCGCGGCUCAAGGUUAUCGGAGGUGCUACAAAAGAUUACGGCGAGUAAUCUUUGCACCGAUAGUCUUGUAUAGCGAAGUUAUCAAGAAAACUGUGUCAAAUUAACGAACAAAUUAUAUUUCCGGAUUUUGGAUUUGAUGCUAUCAAUUUGUAAUUACAUAGUUUCAUUUGAACUGAGAAGCGAUCGAUAGCGGUAUCGCAGUUCAGUAGAGGCUAUGCUUCUCUGUGGCUGGGGAAGGGCUCGCUGCGGCAACAGCCAACGAGAGGCAAUCCCUAACUGCUGUCCUAAUAGUAAAAAGAUUAGGAAAAUUAAACAGGAUAUUGUCUAUCGAUGGCCACUCAUUGGGCGGAAGCAUAGACACGUCCGCGGCGCCACACGCUGCAGCAACACAGUGGGACGCAGUUGGUGUACACAAACACAGUGUAACGAGGCGCAGUAUGUUUGUGAUGAGCUUCCGGCAGACGAGUGCUGUAGUUGCCUUCCGCCUUAUGCUUGCAAUGAUAACUGAACGAAGUCAAAUCAUGGUGUUACAAAGCGACCCAUGCGGCAUCGCUACUGUUAUCCAAAAUUACGCAUAUAUUUUCCUAAUCACUAUCUCUAUAUGAAGUUGUGGGUGUGUAUGUGUGUGUGGCAUGUGUGGUGUGAUA